CAGGGGGUAAGGACUAUAUCAGUGGAAGGCUGAGAGAACUAAUUAAUUGUAAAGUGGUUAAGGUACAUGCCUACUAGCGUGUUCCUGAGAGCUGAUGGAGUGGAUCAAAGAUAUAAAAGGAUCACAGAAAGGUGUUCGGUUUAGCAGAGAAACUACUAUCAAUGUUAAGACCCUCUUGGAUUAGAGACUAAGGGGAGAAGCACCCACCCCCAAUCUGCAUGUGACUGUUAAUGAUACAAAAUUCACUCUUCAGUGCAUACACAAAUACAAGUCUCCUCCCUAGCUGCUUGGAGUGGGACUCCCUCCAUGUCCUCUCUCAACUUCUGAGUCUCAUAUUCCGGCCCAUCUGUGGCCCACAUGAGGUGACCAAAGGGCCAUGCUCUUCCCUGAGGUCAGCCUGCUUCAGAUCUAUUGGAAACAGUGAAAGAUGGCCACUGCAGGUGUUAGACAGCAUAGUCUGAAUAGGUAAAACCCCUGUGGAAUAUCAAAUCUGACUAUACCAAUUGCUAACAUGUGAUUGAUGGAUAGGCGAUCUGUUCUUGCAAACCAGGAUACGAGGUGGCAGCUGUUGAGAAUGGUGGGGACACUUGUGUGGACACAGAAACUAUACGAGAUGGCAGUUACUGCAUCCUCAGGCCCUGCCCAGAGGGAUAUGAAUGCCGAGAUAUGGAACACUAUCAGUUUGAUUGCAUCAGAGGAGCCCUUAUUGUGCCAAACUGAGUAAUUCAGAAUUACUUUUUUUAGUCCUUUCUUGCUCUAUUCACUUUCUCAUCCUUGAUAAAAGAAGUAAUAAGUCUAGAUGUGGAUAGUCUUGGAGUAAACUGCUUACUGUAUUGCUUUGAAAAGCUCCUGUCUCUUGAGAAUACACUAGAUUUCUUCCACAGCCUGUAAAACCUACAAGCCAUUUAUUAGACACCUCUUCAUUUUAAGCUGAGGAAAGUAAAAAAUAAGGAGUCUAACUUAGCCUGAUAGAGAAAACAGAUUGCAAUGUGUAUUUAGAUCAAUAGUAGGGUGGGUUGAUGGAACCUUUAUGUCCAUUACAACACAAGUGUCUAUUUGCAUUCUUUCAGAUGCAGUUUUCCAUUGUUCCAAACUGGAUUCUGCAUAUUCACAGUACGUUCUUGUAAAAUUACUAUUAAAAAUUGGAGCUGACUGUAAAACCUUGAUUGGAAAAAAGAUGAAAUUCUCACAAGUUUUUCCCCAACCCCAUUUUCUUAUUAGUUCUAUUAAACAUGUAUUCUGUGCAAACAUAACUGGCAUGUUAUAAACAUGAGUUGUCAUCCUUCCCUUGUGAGUAAAGUUACAUGCAUGCUUAAGUAUUUGUGGAAUCAGGACCACAGAAUAUAAUCCUAUACAUCAUGUCAAUCUGAUUCACAUGAUUUACACAAUUUAGACUGAUAAGAACAGGCCGUGAGGUUUAUACUCAUGAAAGCUUAUGCCCAAAUUAAUCUGUUAGUCUUUAAGGUGCCACCAGACUCUUUGUUGUUUUUGAAGAACAGGCCUCGUGGAGCAAAAUCCUGCAGCUUUCCCAUUUACUUCAGUAGGAAUUUUGCCUGAGUAAGAUGCCAGAAUUUUGUCUCUCCGAACAAGUCUGCAUUCUUUACUCAGACAGCUUAUGGAAAGAGAGGAUAGAUUCCCUGUCACACUGUAAAUCAGGAAUAAUUCAAUUGAACUCAAUACCAGUGAGAGUGAGAUCAGAAAACUGACACCUGACAAUGACAAAUUUACCAUGCAGAGUUAUGUUUGGGGGGCUGAUUAUGUAGUUCUUACUCAAGCAUGGCUACUGCUUGAAUGGCAGUCUUGCCUGAGUGAAAAUGGUAGAAUCAGGCCUAUGGUAUUUGUAUAUUUUCAUCAUAGCAUAACUGUUAUAAAAAAAAUUCAAUAAGCUUAUAAGAAGCAAAUAUUAUCUGUGACACACAAAAAUAAACAACAAAACUAAUUUUGGGCCAAUUCCUGCAAUCCUUUAUUUAUUACUCAGGCAGCACCCCUGACAUCUAUAGGAGGUUUUCUGAUAAGAAUAGAGUAGGGACUCCAAGGUUGGUCCCUACAUAUCCAUCUCUAAAGAUUAAAUAAUAUAUAGUAAUGGAGUGGUACAAACAUUUUAAAGUAUUCAGACUAAACCUGAAUGGACCACCAAUGGACCUUAAUAUUGAACUGGAGGAGACUCAAAUGAUGGCAACAGGAUAUCUUGCUUUCUAUAUCUGUUCAGCCUUUUGGUCUCUCUGUGGAGACUUCAAACAAGAUGGCCAGUUAGCACCAGUUUUGGCAAUAGUUGUGAUGUGGCUACUUACUUAUUGGGAACUGAACUGAGAAUUCCAAAUUCAUUUCAUAUCAACAAUACUAUUAAAGUUGAAAGUUACGUACACUGAUUAUAUUCCACUGAAAAAUGCCAUAUCUAUAUUGUUAGUAUUUCAUGAUUUCCCUCUGCAAUGAGACUAUUAAAAUAUAAGAAGACAAUAUCUGAUGUAAAGAAUUUCAGCUAAACAGCUGAAUGUUGAAAGUUAUUCUACAGUCAGUGUGAUGUUGCACUCCAUAUGCUUUAUGAUAUAACUGAAAUAUGCUUUAUGCAAAAGGUCUCUUGUAAGGUAUCAUUACAAAUCUUAUAAUCUACUGAGUGUGUUCAUCCUAUUUGUAUGCAUGUAUCAUUCUUGUAUCUGAAGCUAGAAAUAUGAAGUAUAACUCUGAGGUCCUAUUGUAGUUAUGCAAAGUGUGAGCCAUUAAUGGUGGUUUAGAAUCCUGACGGCUCUCAUUGACUAGAACAAUUAGUUGUAAAUGGUUUAUUUACCUACAAGCCUUUCUGUGUUCCAGCCCAUAGGUAAUGAAGAAUGAGGUCUCACAGGGACAUGUGACCAUGUCACCUGAGACUAGAAUCUAUCUUUUAUCUGGUACUUUUCCAUUUAGAAGGAGGGGUGGGGACCCAGUGAGACAAAAGAUUUCCACCUUGUGCCAAAGCUAUAAAAGGGGGUAGAGCAGGAGAAAGAUGGCUGCCAGUCAUGAGAAAACCCUUGCUUUCUACCUAAGAUGUCUGCUGGAACGAAGAAGGACUGUACCAGGGGAAAGGACUGAGCCCAGACUAGGGAGAAGUCUAGUCUGUGAAAGAAGGUUAUCGGAACAUCUCUGAGGGCGAGAUAUCACCUAUAAUCAGUUUCUUAAUGUAUUAGGCUUAGACUUGCAUGUUUUCGCUUUAUUUUGCUUGGUAACUUACUUUGUUCUGUCUUUGUACUUGGAACCAUUUAAAUCCUACUUUUUAUACUCUAAUAAAAUCACCUUUGUUUAUUAGUAAA